rnacentral:rRNA from 1 species
CCUACGGGAGGCAGCAGUGGGGGAUAUUGGGCAAUGGGCGCAAGCCUGACCCAGCAACGCCGCGUGAAGGACGAAGGCUUUCGGGUUGUAAACUCCUUUUGACAGGGAAGAGUAGAAGACGGUACGUGUCGAAUACGCCAGGGCUAACUACGGGACAGCAGCCGCGGAAAUACGGGGGGGGCAAGGGGUAUCGGUAUUGACUGGGUGUAAAGGGGGCGGAGACGGCAGCGCAAGCCAGGUGUGAAAGCCCGGGGCCCAACCCCGGGACUGCUCUUGGAACUGCGCGGCUGGAGUGAAGGAGGGGCAGGCGGAAUGCCUGGUGUAGCGGUGAAAUGCGUAGAUAUCAGGAGGAACACCGGUGGCGAAGGCGGCCUGCUGGACUGCGACUGACGUUGAGGCCCGAAAGCGUGGGGAGCAAACAGGAUUAGAUACCCCUGUAGUC